rnacentral:rRNA from 1 species
UACGUAGGUGGCAAGCGUUGUCCGGAUUUACUGGGUGUAAAGGCGCGUAGGCGGGCUCGUAAGUCAGACGUGAAAUACCGGGGCUCAACCCCGGGGCUGCGUUUGAAACUGCGAGUCUUGAGUGCCGGAGAGGAAAGCGGAAUUCCUAGUGUAGCGGUGAAAUGCGUAGAUAUUAGGAGGAACACCAGUGGCGAAGGCGGCCUGCUGGACAGUAACUGACGUUGAGGCUCGAAAGCGUGGGGAGCAAACAGG